CCCAUGUUCUAUUUUUAGCCAUGGCAGCCAUCUUGGUUGGAUGGCCGGGUCACCGGACACAUUUUUCAAACUACUAACCCAAAAGAUGAUUGUGGCCAAGUUUGGAUUAAUUUGGCCAAGUAGUUUCAGAGGAGAAGAUUUUUGUAAAAGAUUACUAAGAUUUACGAAAAAUGGUUAAAAAUUGACUAUAAAGGGCAAUAACUCC
rnacentral:lncRNA from 1 species